GGGUGAGGAAUACAUCGGAAUCUACUUUUUCGUGGGGGAUAACGUAGGGAAACUUACGCUAAUACCGCAUACGACCUACGGGUGAAAGCAGGGGAUCUUCGGGCCUUGCGCGAUUGAAUGAGCCGAUGUCGGAUUAGCUAGUUGGCGGGGUAAAGGCCCACCAAGGCGACGAUCCGUAGCUGGUCUGAGAGGAUGAUCAGCCACACUGGAACUGAGACACGGUCCAGACUCCUACGGGAGGCAGCAGUGGGGAAUAUUGGACAAUGGGCGCAAGCCUGAUCCAGCCAUACCGCGUGGGUGAAGAAGGCCUUCGGGUUGUAAAGCCCUUUUGUUGGGAAAGAAAUGCAGCGGGCUAAUACCCUGUUGGUUCUGACGGUUCCCAAAGAAAAAGCACCGGCUAAGUUCGUUGCCAGCAGUCGCCGGUGAUACGAUAGGUUCAACCGGUUCGCCGCAAUUUCUGGCCCCAAAAGCCGGCGUAUGUGGUGCCUAAGUCCUGUUCGGUAGAGCUCUGGGGUCUUGCAGGUGGUUUGUU
rnacentral:rRNA from 1 species